rnacentral:rRNA from 1 species
CCUGGCUCAGGAUGAACGCUAGCGGCAGGCUUAAUACAUGCAAGUCGAGGGGCAGCACGGGUAGCAAUACCUGGUGGCGACCGGCAAACGGGUGCGGAACACGUACGCAACUUUCCCAAAACUGGUGAAUAGCCCUCCGAAAGGAGGAUUAAUACACCGUAACAUAAUGAAGAGGCAUCUCUUUAUUAUUAUAGCUCCGGCGGUUUUGGAUGGGCGUGCGCCUGAUUAGGUAGUUGGCGGGGUAACGGCCCACCAAGCCUGCGAUCAGUAACUGGUGUGAGAGCACGACCAGUCACACGGGCACUGAGACACGGGCCCGACUCCUACGGGAGGCAGCAGUAAGGAAUAUUGGUCAAUGGACGAAAGUCUGAACCAGCCAUGCCGCGUGAAGGAUGAAGGCCCUCUGGGUUGUAAACUUCUUUUAUCUGGGACGAAAAAAGCUCAUUCUUGAGCACUUGACGGUACCAGAGGAAUAAGCACCGGCUAACUCCGUG